UACGAAGGUGGCAAGCGUUACUCGGAAUUACUAGGCGUAAAGGGCAGGUAGGCGGACCCAAAAGUCCGGGGUGAAAUCUUUCGGCUUAACCGGAAAAUCGCCUUGGAUACUGUGGGUCUCGAGGGAGGUAGGGGCAUGCGGAACUUCCGGUGGAGCGGUGAAAUGCGUUGAUAUCGGAAGGAACUCCGGUGGCGAAAGCGGCGUGCUGGAUCUCUUCUGACGCUGAGGCGCGAAAGCCAGGGGAGCAAACGGG
rnacentral:rRNA from 1 species